AUAAAAAUAAUCGUUUUUUCUCUCUCGUAUGUUUCGGUUUAUGUAUGUCUACUACGUACAAUUCAUGUACUCCCUCUGUCCCAAAAUAAGUGACUCAACUUUAUACUAGCUUUACUAUAAAGUUAGUACAAAAUUCAGUCAUUUAUUUUGGGACGGAGGGAGUACUAUUCUGUCCUUGCACUGCCUUCUUCUACUCCCUCUGUAAACUAAUAUAAGAACAUUCAGAUCACUAAUUUAGUAAUCUAAACGCUCUUAUAUUAGUAUACAGACGGAGUAAUAUUUUUGUUGUAUAUUACUACGUUCAGUUGGUGUGAAAUCCCCCAAUUUUUGGUUAAUCUAGGAAGUAAAAAUAAGUUCAGUUUGUAGACUGUUUAAACCACUUUUAACUGAACUUGUACAAGCAUCAAAUCUAGGAUAUUUCAAGUCUCUUCACAAAAAACAUAUUACAUAGCAAUAAUUUCAUCUUAUUGUUGUACCAAUCCGAUUAUGAGGUGUAUUCGUGGUGCCUUGAAGUGUAAAAAUUGCAGUACUUUGUAUUAUUUUAGCUCAAGCUUACACUUGCUGACUGGACACUAAAUAACAUUCUUCUGUUUUUUUGUUGCAACGAGAGAAUAAUAAUGAGAUGCGCUGCCACAUGGAGAACUUGGACCAAUUGAUAAGACACCAAAUCUUGGGCACUAAAUUAUGUAUUAGCAUCCUUGUACAGCAGCAAAUCAACUAGGAGCCUCUCCUGAGAAGCAAAGAUGUAGAUUGUCCACCUCGAAGGUUAUAGUUGCUAAAGAAGCUACAAGAGAUUUAGAAUAUUUUAUCUCACAACUUUCACUUCAUCAGCCCAAUAAUGAAAGCAGAAGUAUGCAUUAAAUAUACAAAGGUCUCCACAAGGUUUGCAUAAGACGGUAAUGUCCCAUCUUUAAAUCCUCCGACAUUGUGCUAGAAACUAAUUUUAUUACUGACUGGACAUAUAUGCCAUGCAUGUUUAGUACCUUGACUCUUUAUAUAGACAAAGCUCUGAGGGAUGAAGCGUUUGGGAGUCCGGAUGAAGAAUGCUUCUAAGGCGGAGAAAGAGAAGUGAUGAGAAUACUUCCAAACUGCUCUGAAUUUUUAUUUUGGCAAACUCGGACUCCUUGUUUGAUAAAAUACAUCUGAAGAGCAUUUUUGCGCACUGUUCAAAUAAACUCUUCAUUUUUGUGUCUCUGUCAAACAAUGCAUUUCAAAUAAUUAGGUUAUUGUCCUGGGGAUAUUUCGACAAAUGUUGUACUUAUCAUCCUAGAUACUCCCUAUUCAUUACCUAUAUCACAUUCCCAUUUUAUUUC